rnacentral:ribozyme from 13 species
AAUUCUGCACAUCCUAUAAAGGUUAUUCUGAGUGAUGCUCUAAAGAAAGACGAAAGUAGAACAGAGAAGGAUGAAAUGGAUGCUAAAAUGGUUUACAUGUAUGCACUAUCUUUAUCUAUACCAUCAUUAUUUU